rnacentral:lncRNA from 1 species
GCCAAAUAGAGCUGUAUUUUUAUACUGUACAAAAAAAUUUACACUCUUAAUGUAACUAGAUACAUCUAAGGGUAAAUUACACAUCUCUCAAACACAGUAUUUUAACAUCUAAGAUAUGUUUCUGCAUUGUAGACUGAUACUGAAUUUUAUACAUCUUUAUUUACAAUAACUUAAAAUAUUUUUUCAUCUCUGGCAGAUAUUUACAAGGUCAACAAUGACUACAUUUCACAUUUCAACAUCAACAGCAUUAAUCGGUUCAGUAAGACAGGAUAAUGGCUUACAUGCACCAAUAAAUAUGAUCUUAAAUUCACGGUUUUUUCUUCAGCUCUGAAAAAAUGAAGGUUGUCACUAGUCCUAGGUUGAAAGGACAUCACUCAGUACAAGUUGUAAUUUCUAUAUGCCUAUCCUAUUUAAAUUUUCACCAGCACUAUUCUCUAAAUACUUGGGAAGUUUAUACCAAGUUAUAGGUUGAUGCUGGUAAAAAAAAAAAAAAAAAAAAAAAAAAAAAAAGGCUGAUGUGUACAUUCCAUAUCCUUUUAUGAAGCAAACAUAUGAAAGUGAGAUAUUUCUUAUUUACUUGUCCAGUGUGAAAGCGAUCAGAUUACAUAAUGCCAAAGUAGUAAAAAUCCUUCAGAAAUUAUAGCUCAGGAGACCCAAAUUAUCACGAGAAAACCAGUGGGAAAAUAAUUUUUGCACCCUAAAAACUGUUUCACUUAACCAGUUAAACUGAAUGUAAGGCCAGAAUAAUUUUAGAAUAAGAAUAAAAAAGAUUCAAUGUCAAGUAGAUGAACUUAUUACAAAUAUUUUUAAACAUGGAGCAUCUCUCUCUAUUCAGUAUGGAUGAUAAAACUUACAAACAAACAAACCCCCUGCCCUACCGCCAAACCCAGACCUGUAUCAGUGAUUGUUAGAAAGCCAAUCCUCUCUUUCCAAGACAGCUAAUCAGUAUAUUCAUUACUUUUUAACUACUCCCUGCUAUAAAAAACAAUACAUAAAACCUGUUUGGAAUAUUAAUAUGCAAAUACAUUUCAUGAUUUCCAAAAAAAAAUUAUUUAACUUUUGAAAUAAAUUAUUUAGUUCUUAUUGGGCUAUACAUUUUAAAAAAUGAGUGUUUUAGCUUUUCUUAAUCCAAUCCUGUUUUUCUGCAAAGAAAAAAAACACUCAGAAUGAUCAUGGACAUAUUUAACAAACUUUACCAGUUUAACCAAUAUUAUACUUACAAUAAUUGCCACUGCCCUUUAAAAUAGGUACAUUUCCAUAAUGUCCCCCUAAAUUUUACUUAAAUGACCCACAAUAUUACACAAUAUACCAAUUUUAGGAGUUUCCCCCUUUUUAUUCAAUCCUGAUGAGUAGGAUUCUUAAUUUAAGGAGACAAGAAACUGUGCUAUGAGGAAUAAUGUUUCGACUUAGUCUUUAACGAGUAUUUUUGCUGGAAGUGUGAAAUAUUGACAUUUUUUGACAUAAGAAAACCU